GGAGGGGUGCCGGAGUGGUCGACCGGGGCGGUCUCGAAAACCGUUGUACCUUAUAGGUACCGUGGGUUCGAAUCCCACCCCCUCCGCCA
rnacentral:tRNA from 1 species